rnacentral:rRNA from 1 species
CCUACGGGAGGCAGCAGUGGGGGAUAUUGCACAAUGGGGGGAACCCUGAUGCAGCGACGCCGCGUGGGUGAAGAAGCGCCUCGGCGCGUAAAGCCCUGUCCGCAGGGACGAAAAUGACGGUACCUGAAGAAGAAGCACCGGCGAACAACGUGCCUGCAGCCGCGGUAAUACGGAGGAUGCGAGCGUUAUCCGGUUUUAUUGGGUUUAAAGGGUGCGUAGGCGGACUGCCAUGUCAGCGGUAAAAUCGCGGGGCUCAACCUCGCUGCGCCGUUGAAACUGGCGUUCUUGAGUGGGCGAGAAGUAUGCGGAAUGCGUGGUGUAGCGGUGAAAUGCAUAGAUAUCACGAAGAACUCCGAUGGCGAAGGCAGCAUACCGGCGCCCAACUGACGCUGAAGCACGAAAGCGUGGGUAUCGAACAGGAUUAGAUACCCUUGUAGUC